CUCACGGGCCCAGCCGCUCUGCGGCAUGUGGGAUCCUCCCGGACCGGGGCACGAAUCCGUGUCCCCUGCAUCGGCAGGCGGACUCUCAACCACUGCGCCACCAGGGAAGCCCAAAGAACAAUGAAUUUGGAGGAAGAGUUUUCUCAAGCAAAAGGGUUUGCUCAUUGGCUAAUUAUUGUCAUAUUAGUUUGGAAUGUGUGAAAUUCAGUUUCUGCAAGAAUGUCACCCUGGAU